CACAAGUGCUCAAUGUGAUAAGGUUUUUUUUUAUCAAUGGAGCAUUGGAAAUUAUAUCAAUACAACAAAAGUUACGUGCAACAACACGGAUUAUCAACACCAUGCUCGAAUUUAAUCUUGUCUUAACCUAGAUCGAUCACUAGACAACUGCUCAAGAAUGGAAAGGGAGGCCAUUGAAUCGAUAUUAGACAACAGGGAGAAAAGCUAUAGCUUGUUAUCAAAAGGGAACAAAAGACGCUCCCUUUCCAAUACGCAUCUACUACAUCAAGACACAGGUUUUCGGGAAGCUACUUCAUUCAAAUCCUCAAUCACGAGAUGGCAACCAGACUGCCUAUCAUCAACUUCACUAGUACUUAAGAAAUUACUAAAGCAAUUACCUGUCUAAACAGAACAAUUUCAAAGAACUUUGUAAUGCGACAAUACGAGAGAAAAUCCUCUAACAGCAACUA